CCUCCGAUAGCUCAGUUGGUAGAGCGCCAGACUGUAAUCGGUAACCCUGUGCUAUCUGAAUGUCGCUAGUUCGAUCCUGGCUCGGAGGA